GAGGAAUGUGGCGCCUGGGUACUCCGAGCCGGCUCCUUGGAAACGGCUGGACCCGCCCACCAGAGCCUUAAAGCAACAGUGCUCCCACGACGGGCUUGUCCUAGUGGUCCUGAGGAACGGUCCCAGAAUUCCUGAAGGCAGAGGUCGGCUGCCAAGUCCCACAGUCCACAUGCUCCCUCUUCCUCACUCGACUUUAAGUUCCCUGGAGGAACGACAACUCCACUGCUUUUAGCCAGCGUGCAAGUGGUUCCCAGGACCAUUUCAGAGAAAGGGAUUGUGUGGUGAGACCUUACUAACCUGGCCUAAUCCUCCCUGGGCCUGUCAUGUUUUUGUCGAAAACUGGGAACAGUACUCUGGGCUUCUAAAGAAUCCAUGAGACCAUCUAUCAGUGUCCGAGGCAGGGCCCGGACUCUCUGCAAGGGAACAGCGGGCCGAACCUGCAGAUCCACAAUGACUGCUGAUGACCCUAGAGGCCUCCACAGAAAAACCCACCAGUGGAACAGAGCAGCGGACACAGGACUGCAGCAGCUGUGUCAUUCCUUGUGCCUCCUUUUCUUCAUGGCAAAGCGAUCCUCUCAGAAGAGAAACCAGACCUCCAAGGACACGUUGAAGGGCAGGAGUGGGACAUCAGGCAUCAGAAGGGCUGAGCUCCCUUCAGAGACCACAGGGGAGGACCCCUCUUUGCAUCUUCCAGCUGCUGGUGGCUCCUGGUGUCUUGCAUCUGCUGGGAGUGGUUGUGUGUGUCCUGAAGACAGAAGAGGAGACACAGACGGAGAAGAAGCCAUGUGAUGAUGGAUACAGGUUGGAGUGAGGCAUCUAUAAACCAAGGAACACCAAGGAUGCUGGAGCCUCCGGAAAGUGGGAGAGGGAUGCGGACCAGGGUCUCUCUCAGAGCCUCAGAGGGAGCCGAGCUUGCUAACAUCUGGAUUCCAGACUUCUGGUCUCCGGAACUGCGGGACAAG
rnacentral:lncRNA from 1 species